GGGCGUAAGCGCGCGUAGGCGGCUUUUUAGUCAGAGGUGAAAGCCCGGGGCUCAACCCCGGAAUUGCCUUUGAAACUGGAAAGCUAGAAUCUUGGAAAGGUCAGGGGAAUUCCGAGUGUAGAGGUGAAAUUCGUAAAUAUUCGGAAAAACACCAGUGGCGAAGGCGACUGACUGGACAAGUAUUGACGCUGAGGUGCGAAAGCGUGGGGAGCAAACAGGAUUAAAUACCCUGGUAGUCCACGCCGUAAACGAUGAUAACUAGCUGUCCGGGGGCAUGGAACUUGGGUGGCGCAGCUAACGCAUUAAGUUAUCCGCCUGGGGAGUACGGUCGCAAGAUUAAAACUCAAAGGAAUUGACGGGGGCCUGCACAAGCGGUGGAGCAUGUGGUUU
rnacentral:rRNA from 1 species